CGCCACCCCCCCUCGGGCCUGGCCGCCACCCCCCCCUCGGGCCUCGCCUCCAUCUCCCCUCAGGACUCGCCGCCAUCUCCUCUCAGACCAGCGCCUCCGCCCCUGGCGCUGGGAAGACUGAGGGUGGCGACCCAGCGGGGGCUGGUAACUGGAUGGCCGGUAGAACAUCCUCUGGGUGGCGUCCGUGUGAAUGUCGCCAAGGAAGAGCUCCUCGACAAGGUGGUCCAGGUUGUGGUGCAGGUCAUAAGCCACGUCCUGCACCCAGGGGCCGCCGGCCUCGAGGAAGCCCGGGCAGGUGCGGUUCACCAGCUGGCUGAGCUUCUCGGCUACCG